rnacentral:rRNA from 1 species
CGCAUCUGUGCAUGCAGCAUAUCAAUAAGCGGAGGAAAAGGAACUAACAAGGAUUCCCUUAGUAACGGCGAGUGAAGCGGGAAGAGCUCAAAUUUGAAAUCUUCAAGGUUUUACCUUGACGAAUUGUAGUUUAAAGAAGUGUUUUCUGUUGAAGUUUUGGUAAAAGUUCUUUGGAAUAGGACAUCAUAGAGGGUGAGAAUCCCGUAUUUGACCAUUAUUUUCAGCUGUGUGAUACACUUUCAAAGAGUCGGAUUGUUUGGGAAUGCAGUCCAAAAUGGGUGGUAAAUUUCAUCUAAAGCUAAAUAUUGGCGAGAGACCGAUAGCGAACAAGUACCGUGAGGGAAAGAUGAAAAGAACUUUGAAAAGAGAGUUAAACAGUACGUGAAAUUGUCAAAAGGGAAGCGUUUGACACCAGUGUUGUUUUUCUGAAAAUCAAUUAAAGAACUGUUUAUGCUAAGCUGUUUAGACUUUAUCAGCUAUCUGUUUAGUUUUGAGCUUUUCUUUAAUGCACUUUUCAGUUAACAAGUCAACAUCAAUUUCUUUUGCUGUAAAAAAGCUUGAGGAAGGUGGCUUGAGAUUCGUCUUAAGUGUUUAUAGCCUCUUGCCUAUGCAGUCGGAGAGAUUGAGGUCUGCAGCGUAGAUCCUUCGGGGCUAAAUGCAUUUGUGCUAAGUUAUAGCAUUUUAUAGACAACUUGUUGACUAUGAUUUGUCUUGUAGCUUACUCGCUUAUGUUAUUUUACCUACGCUUAGGAUGUUGAUGUGAUACUGCGAGCA